GGUAUCUUUUUCUUAGUUUCUUCUUCAAGAUCUUCAAUCUACGUAUUUGUAUUCUCACUUAUAAAGGUUUUAUUCGUCUUUCUAGUUGCCCCAACUAAAUUUGACUUCCGUUCCUCAAAGAUUAAACCUCCACUUCUUGAACUUUAUCUUAUAAAGAUCUAUAGGGUCUUCUCGUCUUUCUUCCUAAUUUUUGCCUUUUUACAAAAAAGUGAAAUUCAUUUCAUACCAAAGAAACAGCUUUAAUUCCAUUGAAUCUUUCAUUCCAGUGCCCAAUCAAAACACUAAUGAUUAUGCUACCUUUGCACGGUCAAGAAUACCGCGGCCCUUCAAACCUUUCAGUGGGCAGAUUUUACCUUUCAUUAACCUCGAAAGACA
rnacentral:rRNA from 1 species